UGCCUUGGAGAGGGGAAUAACACUCCGAAAGGAGUGCUAAUACCGCAUGAUGCAGUUGGGUCGCAUGGCUCUGACUGCCAAAGAUUUAUCGCUCUGAGAUGGCCUCGCGUCUGAUUAGCUGGUUGGCAGGGUAACGGCCUACCAAGGCAACGAUCAGUAGCCGGUCUGAGAGGAUGAACGGCCACAUUGGGACUGAGACACGGCCCAGACUCCUACGGGAGGCAGCAUG
rnacentral:rRNA from 1 species